GAUGAACGCUGGCGGCGUGCCUAAUACAUGCAAGUCGAGCGAACCACUUCGGUGGUGAGCGGCGAACGGGUGAGUAACACGUAGGUGAUCUGCCCAUCAGACGGGGACAACGAUUGGAAACGAUCGCUAAUACCGGAUAGGACGAAAGUUUAAAGGUGCUUCUGGCACCGCUGAUGGAUGAGCCUGCGGCGCAUUAGCUAGUUGGUAGGGUAAAGGCCUACCAAGGCGACGAUGCGUAGCCGACCUGAGAGGGUGAACGGCCACACUGGGACUGAGACACGGCCCAGACUCCUACGGGAGGAAGCAGUAGGGAAUCUUCGGCAAUGGGCGAAAGCCUGACCGAGCAACGCCGCGUGAAUGAUGAAGGCCUUCGGGUUGUAAAAUUCUGUUAUAAGGGAAGAACGACUUUAGUAGGAAAUGGCUAGAGUGUGACGGUACCUUAUAAGAAAGCCACGGCUAACUACGUGCCAGCCGCCGCGGUAAAAC
rnacentral:rRNA from 1 species